CCCGCUGACCUGUGACCUGUAGCUUUCAGAGAAACAGUUCUUCGUGACGGCGUUGGCGGCGCGGGCGAAGCUGAAGGCGUGGUCCGACGUGGACGCUCUGUUUACCUGCCGGACCUGGCUCGGCUUCACCAGGAAGAAAGCUCCGCUCGGCUUCCACAGGGUCGUCGACCUGCUGCACAAGAACGCCGCGCCCACGCAGGUGCUCCAGGACUACGUGGCCCUGGUUGACGACGCCGAUCUGAGGAUCUCAUUGGCUCAGAAACAUAAAUGUCACGACAUCGUCAUUAACACGUACCGGGACCUGAAGGACCGGCAGCAGUUGCUAGGAUACCGGACAAAGAUGGAGAGAGGAUCGGCGGAGGAGAAGAAGAUUAAUGAACUGCUCAACAACUCGGUGAGGAAGAAGAUACUGUCUCUCUCUCUCUCUCUCUCUCUCUCUGUCU